rnacentral:lncRNA from 1 species
GAUAUCUAGUCAAAAUCUUUACUUGUCCAACAAAUUUCAUUAUCCAAAAAAUAAACAUACUCUCUAAUCUCUUUGCUGUAAAGUAAAUGAGCUUUCAGAACAAUUUUGAUUAUACAGAGUUAAACUGAAAUGCCUUAAAGUGUAUAACAAAGUUAGUUUAGAGUUAGUGCCAAAGGUUGGUAUGUGAAAGUCAAUAUGGCUCUUGUCCUUUGGUGAAGACAUGGAACACAAGGUUUCAGGAACAGAAUUAACCUUCCAUUUUUGGACGUAUGAUGGAAGCUAUGUCUUAUUCAUGGAGGUCAUAAACUCAGGAAACAAAGAUCAAUAAUUUUUGGAAUUCCCUGAGUCAUGAAGCAAUACACUUCUGACCAAGAAGAAUCACCUGCUGUGGAGAUUUGGUCUGGACCUGAUAUGUUUGCACUGAAGUCGUCUUUACUCAGAUCAAGAAAAAAAUGUUUGAAUGGGGGUGAUUCAAUUCAGAGGGAAACACAGUGAAGCAGUUUGAGAAUUCUCUCAUUUUGGCCUGCUAUACGUUAUA